CCUACGGGGGGCUGCAGUGGGGAAUAUUGGACAAUGGGCGAAAGCCUGAUCCAGCCAUGCCGCGUGUGUGAAGAAGGCCUUCGGGUUGUAAAGCACUUUCAGUGGGGAAGAAAGCCUUGGGGCUAAUACCCUCGAGGAAGGACAUCACCCACAGAAGAAGCACCGGCUAACUCCGUGCCAGCAGCCGCGGUAAUACGGAGGGUGCGAGCGUUAAUCGGAAUUACUGGGCGUAAAGCGCGCGUAGGCGGUCUGAUAAGCCGGUUGUGAAAGCCCCGGGCUCAACCUGGGAACGGCAUCCGGAACUGUCAGGCUAGAGUGCAGGAGAGGAAGGUAGAAUUCCCGGUGUAGCGGUGAAAUGCGUAGAGAUCGGGAGGAAUACCAGUGGCGAAGGCGGCCUUCUGGACUGACACUGACGCUGAGGUGUGAAAGCGUGGGUAGCAAACAGGAUUAGAUACCCCGGUAGUC
rnacentral:rRNA from 1 species